rnacentral:piRNA from 1 species
UGCUUUCUUAAGUAUCUCAGGACCAUCUGCC